rnacentral:lncRNA from 1 species
CACGGUUUGACACCUCUGUUCUAUACCGGUCUCAAGAGUGGGAGAAAGCCAAAAACCAUGGGUCGUGCCCUUACCUGUGUCUGCAGAAGGUGGCCUGGGACGCUUCCUUUGCUGGUUAUGUUGUGGUUGGCGUUACGUUAAGGAAUACUGAGACAGAACAUAAAAUUUACUCCUGCUUCCAACAGACUCAUAGACUGAGAGAGACAGAGGAGUAAACUGUUCAUCGCGGGGUGGAGUGAUAUAUACCCCAGGAGAAGCAUAGGGCAGGGUGAAAUGAGAAGGACUGUUGCGCAGGGGACUUAAGGGGGUGGGAUUGGGGUUUGAACUGAACAUAUUUGAUGCAGUGAUGGCCUUCAAGUAAACUUCUAAUCGAGCUAUCCCACAGGUGAUGAGACAGAAGACUCAAAGAUCAAGUGAAGAUUCUUUAAUAAUAAAGCUUGUUGGAUCCGUUUAAGCAGCCAUCAAAAAGCAAGAAGAAAAACAGUUAAAAAUUGAUAUGCUUAAGGUGGUGUGCAAGCAAUGGAGGGCCACCGACGUCAUUGGUUCAGGUGUCCUGUCUGUCACUGUACCUUUCCCCAGGGACAAGAUGCUCACGAGGACUGCAGUUGCCAUUUUCAUCUGCAGAUGAAAGAUGCUUUUGGGGCCAUGACACCCUCACUCUGUUGGAGAGAAGCACGGAAAUGCAUCUGCACAUAAUUUGUGAGGAUCUGAAGGCACAGGGAAAGUGUUCUUCCCCCAGAAUCUCCAUGGAUUGAGAACACAGACGUACACUGGUGGCCCGAGGUCUGCUUCCUGUGAGGAGAGUCAGCCCUCCCAUCCGGCUCAGCAGGAAGACAGGUGAGGGCCUGGACUUCUGGAGAAAGUCAGAACAUAAAGGGUCUCGAGAUGAAGAAGGACGAAGUUGGAACAAGACACAGGUGGCAAUGCACACAGCAGAGAUUCUCUUACCUCCAAUGCACUGCACAUCUUCAGAAAAUCUAUUCAGGAAGGAUAUAGCUGCUACUGGCAGAUAGGAAAUCCUGUGUAAGUUAAUGGAGCUCCUGGGUCCAGGCUUGCAGAGGAGCAAGUUGACUUGAACAAAGCCACAAACCAAAGUCUCCUUAGCGGAGAAGGCCUGGUGGACAGAUCCUGGGGUAGUCCUUGGGGCUGUGGGCUCCUAACACAGUUAGGGAGUGGGAAGUAACUAAAGUUAAAGGUUGUAGGGUGAAAGUCACUGGUGGCAAGGAAGGAAAUUAGAGCCAGAGAAAUCAUCUUAGCAGCAGGUGCUAUGGGGACCUCAGGGAGCUGUAGGCCGGGGGGAGCCCCUAGGAUUUGAAGUGAGGGUUUCGAGCUUCCCCACUGUCAAAAGACAAGGACUGGCCUCACGGGAGGAAGUAGUGGGAACCCACGCUACUGCACAAAGGCAGGAUCUCAAAUUUCUCUGUCUCAGUGACAGGAAAAUGAGAAAACUGAACAUUAGAACUAAAAUCUAAAAAGGUUCCUCUGAGUAGCCAAAGCUCCAAGUGUUUUCCGUAUUCAAAUAUGAAGUCUCCUUUGACAUUCUCUCUAGGACUUUAACGGGACUCCGGGCUUUUGCACCAGUGAAAUAUCCUAGAGUGUUCAGGAGAAUCAAAACCCUCUGUAGUCACAUUUGCAACAGUCCAGGGUAAGAAGGAAUUCCUGGACGUAAAGUUUAUGAAUCAUAGAAGAAAAUAAUUUACUAUGACAGAGCAUACACAUACAGUGAAAAGAAAUAUACUGGAACUCCAAGAGCUUGCAUAACUAGAAGAGUCUGAAAGGCACUGACUACCGUCAGUGUGGAGUAACUACACUUGGCACAAUUAAAGUGAUGAGAGGAGGAGGAGGAGCCACAGGGGAGAACAGGGAGGAUGCUGUACUGCAAGCGUACAUCAUUUAAAAAUAAUAGAGAAGAACUCCAGAAACGAAAUGUUGAAAUUAAAGUUCAAUGGAAAGGUCAGACAAGACAUAGAUCAUAGUUAAAACAAGGAUUGCUGACAGAAAUGGAAAAAGUAAUAAAAAUUCAGCAAAGAUAAAUAAAUAAUAGAAAAAUCGGGGGAAAAGGUUGAAACUUAGAGGAAGACUGAACAGGUUUAGGCUAGGUCUGAUAUGCCAAGAAGGAGGAUAAGAAAAGAGGGAAGAGAGGAGCGGCUACAUUUAAAGAAAUUUUCAUAAUCAAGCA